UCACAUUUUUCCCCCCUCUAAUCACACAAAGAGUUUAGGCUAAAAAAAGCAGUCCCUGGUAGGAAGGAGAGGGAGGGAGUGGGUACCCACAGCUGUGCCUGCUGCUGCCAGGGAGUUUGUUUUCCACUCUUGUAUUGAUGGGGAUGCUCCCACCAUUGUGGUGCCAGAUUCUCACAAAUGCCCUGUUUUGCAAAUUAAGGAGGAGAGAUCUUGGGCUUUAAGGGUUGUGUUUUAAAUAUUUCCCUUUCUUUUUCUCCUGAGGGAGGGAGGCUGUGGUGGAAGGCAGCACAUUUCAAAUGGUCUGGCUGAUGCCCGUGGAGGAGCGCUCUGCUAACAGGAGAAUUUCUCUGCGUGGAAUCGUUGGUCAACGGGGAGAAGCUUCCACUGAACGCUGGAAAUGUCUCACUGCCAAAACUGCAUUUCCCUGAGCCAUGGUCCUCGUGCUGGCACUUGGAGGGGUGGAAUUUUAUUUUCCCACCCUCGGACUGGGUUUGCAACUCCUGGUAUCCAAAGUGAACCUUCACUUCAGUAGGACUGAGUUAUCUCCAGGGAAUAAAGGAAAAAGGUGAACCUGGAAGGGAAUGUUGCUGUUUCCAAGUCAAACAGCAGCAAGAGGACAAUGACAGGGCCUCAAGGUCUGUCCCAGGGGUCACCCUGACUUGGGCAUUCCCUGGCUCCUUGGGGAAUCUGUGGUGUAGGAAGAGUUCAGUCAUUCCAAGGAUUGCUGUGAAGGAUGACUGGACAAUUCUUCCUCGCGCCAAAGACAACUCUGCAGCCCUUCCCUGUCUCUAAGCUGGAUCUUCACCUCUGCCUGGUGCCUUCCACGGGGGCAGGACCAUCCUUCAGCCUGGGCUGGAGCUCCUUUCCCUGCAGGACACCCUGGCCUCUACAUGGGAGCUCCCACAAUUCGUGUUACCUGGUUUCUCCUUCGGCAUUCCAUGAGCGGCGCCCUAGGAGCUCCUCCCCUCCGCACAGUCGUGCUCCCGAUGAGAGUUGAGAGCGGGGCUUUCAUCAAUUAUUCACUGCUCUGAAGAUGUAAGAACUUAUCUCAGGGCGAAUUGGUGUUUCUCCUCACUCCUCAGAAGCAGGAGUCGGGAAACUUGCGCACCUCAGCCGGGAGCAGACGGGAGCUCCGCUCUCAUUCAAGGGAAGGAAAAAUCCACCUGCAGCAAACCCUCCUCGCGUGUGGGAAUGAGUUCAGCAGCACCCCAGGCUUAUAAAUAGGGAUGGUGGAAAGAUCCAUCAUCUUUUCCAAAAUGUUCUGUAGUCCCUUAUGAAUGUUGCAAAAGAUUCACAAAUUCUGAGUGCUGCACAGAGUGGCAAAAAUUAACAUCUCCGAGAAUGUCAUUGAGAUGGGCAGAUGUCUCCCCCCAGCCCCAGUAGGCUCGACUUUGAUGAGACUGGCUUAAAAAGGAAAUUUUAAACCUCUCCAAACCUACAGGAAAAACGUGAUGCCAGUGGUGAAUUUGCUGCAAAUUCACCUGUUCUCCUGUGGAUCAAAACACGUUGGAAUAGAGUGAAAAACACUGCUUUAUACCCCAUUAAGUUUAUUAUGCUCUGCAUCCCUGAAUUUCUGCGUCUCCCGAGCGGCUGGAUGGAGGAAUUCUUUGGAUAAGACCGGGAUUUGGGUUUUUAGUUUUUCUCCUGUCUCCAGACAGAGAAAUCUCCAGCAAAUUUGUGAUCUUGUGCAGGAGAGAUCCUGGAGACCACUUCAAGCACCAGAGGUAGAAUUGUUUGGAGACGAUUUUUCCAGAGGCAUGAGGAUCCUUGCUGAUAAGGAAAAUAAAAGUUGAUUUCAGCAGUUGGAGAAAGUGUAUGGUUGAGAAAGACACGCAUAAUCUGUUUCUCUACUGCCUCAAAUGGUUUCUGACCAAGGGUACUUGGCAAUUAAUGCAGGCAAAGGGAGGCAAAAAUGUGAAUUAUUUCUUCUGUUCAACGGCCAGGGGAUGUGGUAUGUACUUGAACAAGGGUUGUGCAUGGUCAGCACCUGAAAUCCAGAUUUCAAACUCAUCUGUGGACUUUUAUAAAAAGAAAAAAAGAGGAGGAAACUUUCCUCCUUUUGUUUUUCCAGCUUUUUCAUAUCUUCCUUUUCCUGAGCUCUGCCUUCUCUGGAACACAAUUUUGCUCUCUUCCCCUGUGUCUGAUCUCCCUGGCUGGCUCAUAUUAAUUCCCUGUUUUGGGGCAGGAGUUCUGUAUUUUAUAUCAGGUUAGAAAUUAAACAAGCUGACAUUUACUCCCACUGCCUAGACAAGUCAUGAAAUUCCCAAGUUUUAACUGCAGUCUCCUGGGCCAUCUCCCAGCACAGCAGGCUCCAGUGCCCAAUUUAGGCUGUUUUCAGGAGCCAGGUUAGCCCUGUGCUAAUUUGGGUUAGAUGUUCCAGCAAAUUUCCAUGGGAUCCAUCAAGAGCUUGUUAAACUCUGAUUAGUUACACCCACUUGUGACUCUGCCCACGCAGACCUCAGCCAAAUAACAAAACUGAAUUUAUCAUAAAAAAAAAAAAAUCCUCAGAUGGUCAAGCUGACCAUUCUGAAGAACUUAUUUAUCAGCUUUUGGUUUUCAGCUCCCUGAAAAUCAGUGGAAUCAGAAGGAGCAGCUUGGCCGUGCCCACAGCAAAUGAGGGGAUAGAGAAAGAGAGCAGAGGUUUGAAGGAAGGUUUGUAAGAAACACGGAAAGACACAAAACAUGGGCUCUGAAGAAACAGGUGGAGCUGUGUUUUCCUUCUCCAGGGGAUUUUCAGAGCUGUAGGAACAAUGCACAUUUUCCUGUCUCUGGGUACAAAGCUUUAUCUCCAUUAACCUUCUGCUGGAGCCCCUGAGCAGAGGAUGCUCCAUCCCUCCACCUCUGCUACUCCAUCCAGCAGCUCUCCUCAGCAACAUUUGCUUUCCCUCUGGCUUCUCCUCACCUCCUGAGACAAAACUCCCACAUGUUCCUUUCCAUGUCU